AUUGAACGCUGGCGGCAGGCCUAACACAUGCAAGUCGAGCGAGCGGCGGACGGGUGAGUAAUGUAUGGGGACUGCCCGAAAGAGGGGGAUAACUACUGGAAACGGUGGCUAAUACCGCAUACUAUCGGAUAACCCAUAUGGGCUUAGCUCGUCGGUGGGGUAAAGGCGCACCUAGGCGACGAUCUCUAGCGGGUCUGAGAGGAUGAUCAGCCGCACUGGGACUGAGACGCGGCCCAGACUCCUACGGAGGCAGCAGUGGGGAAUAUUGCGCAAGGGGCGCAGUCCUGAGGCAGCCAUGCGGCGGGUAGGAAGAAGGCCUUAGGGUUGUAAAGUACUGUCAGCGGGGAGGCGUUACCCGCAGAAUAAGGACCGGCUAACUCCGUGCCAGCCGGCGCGGUAAUAC
rnacentral:rRNA from 1 species